GGUUAAGCCAAACCUGGCAAACUUUGCCCUGGGGAGGAUGAAGAACACUCACCUGGAGCAUCGAGGUGGUCUGGAUGGGGCUGGAGCCUGCAGGAGAUGGAUGGAGAGGCUUUAAAGCACCUCAGGGAUGGUUUGAGGAAAGUUUUGUUGACUCCAGGAGGGAGAAACAGUUUUGCAGGGAGCAGAGACACAGCAUGGAGCUCAUGGCAUCGCUGUCAAGCACCAAGAUGAAAGGAUGGGGUCCUAUCCUGCACAGUUCAAGGAGUUUCUCUUGAACUCCCUCCAAACCAGAGCCUCUUUCUACCUCCAGGGAGGGCAUAAAGGAACCACAGUAAAAAUAAACAACCCUCCCAGGUUAAAAUGUUCCACCCUCACCUCCUGCUGCAACCUGAGCUCCCGAGAUGAGGACACACAGCCCUGAUGCUGUUCAAAGCCCAUGGCUCACCCAGCCCCGUGAUGCCACCAAGGGGUGUUUGCUCAUCCUCGGGAUCCAGCACAGCAGGAUCUGAACUUCCAGUGGCCUGUGCCAGGGCAGGAGAUGCUGAACAGGGGCAUCUGAGUUUCUGACCCUCUUGUUCCUGAGGAACCUGGGUUUUCCCAGUUUGUCCCAGGGCCACCACAGAGAAGAAAUUCCACGAUCACAUCCACAUCAUUGCACCCAGUCCUGUACUGGUCCUACCAAGAAAAAAAACCACCACAAAUCAACUCAAAAGCCCAUUUCCCAGUACCUUCCACCCCUUUCUAAGGCAAUCAUCUCUCUGUCCUGCUCCUAUCACCUCCCUCCCACCCCUGCUGUCUCCGGGAAGCGAAGGGUUAAAAGCUCUGAAACUGUAAGAACUUCCUCCUUUCUGCAGUGCCACCCUCGGAAUGACGCUGGUUUCUGCCGGGCUUUGCCCAAAUAUGUCCGUUUCCUUCUGAAAGACGGAGGAGGAAGGAAAGAAAUAGAGAUACAGAAGAAACAGCUAUAUUUUAGUGUCUAUAUCGAAGAGAAGGCGUCCGCGCCCGGGGAACCCAGGCGUCCGAGCGCAGCCCUGCCUCCUCCCGCUCCAUGCCGUUCCGCAAAGUCCUUUGAUCCUUGUUGGAUGAUUUCCAGCUUUAUCAAUCGAGGCAGGGGAAACUGAGGCACAGGAGGGCUGAGAUGGGCUGGAGGCUGUGCUGAUGGUGCCUUUAGCUGCUCAUAUCCACGGGUCCAGCUCUCUCUGCACCAAUCCUGGCAGUGCCAGAGCAUCCUGAGGUGUGUUCCCUGUGUAGGUACAUUUGUGGAUAUUACUGGUGCACGUUUCAUUGUAGUGCAGUGCGGAGCUUCCAAAUCAGCCCCUGUGGGCAGGAGCGGGGUGUUAAAACCCCACCCGCAGAGAUGUCACGUUUUGGGCAGACUAAACAAACCCUUUGUACCUGAGUUUCAAGGACGCCCUACAGCUCAGAUCCUGAAAAGUCUAAACAAAAGUGAAUUGGGAGGAAGCAAACUGGAAGUAUGUGACUUCAUUAGCUCCAGUUACCUGUAAUUGGAGGUUUAACCCCUGAUAUGUAAAUGGACCAAACUUACAUAUGUCUGCAAAACUCAUUACCAUUGUUCAUUUUUGGGUGUAGCCCCUUGGGGAAGCUUUGUCUGCCCUUAAUGUACCUGAAGGCCCUUCAGUAAAUAUAUCUGCUUUUAUUCUUUUAAUUUUGUGUGCCUUCCGUUCCUAGGUAAGCCCAAAACCACAUCAGUACUGGGAGAAAAA
rnacentral:lncRNA from 1 species